rnacentral:lncRNA from 1 species
AAGACUCUGGACCCUAAUAAAAUGAGGAUAGUAUUCAUUUAACUACAGAGCUUGUUAUAACCCUAGCUGAGUACUCUCGUUCUGCCUAAAUUUUUGCUACAACCUUUCUUGCAUGAAGAGUUUGCUAAUCUUGAUUUCCAGCCAGAGGUGAGCCAUAGUGAUUUAAGAAUAUCAUAUCGCUCCUUUAAAACAGGCAAAAGAAAAACAUAUAGAGAACUUCUUCUGUAAUCCAGAAAGCCAAAAUAAAUUUAUCAAACCAAACACCAGAGAAACAGCUGCCACAGUUAGCAAAUUCGAUAGCAUUUGACUAGUGAUGUCCUGGAAUCCUCAGAGUGACUUCCUGAGAGCUCAGAUUCUUACGAUUUUCUUAAAUUCAUAUCCAACUGUUGUGAUCAUUGUUAAAUAUUUAACUGGACUGACUCCGUUGACCGGCUGUACUUUGACAGCACAAAAUCUUUUGUAAGCACCAGUUAUUCAAUUAACUCAUUUUCAUUUUGCACACUUGCUGCUAACUUAGUGUAAAGUAAGCCUCCUUGGACUGAAGGAGAGGAGAGGAAGGAGACAAAUGGGACUGAGCUGUCUGUUGCUGUGCAUCUCAUUCUGCCAGCCGCUAGUUCAGGUCAGGCCCAUAAAAUAAUGCACGUUUUGUGUUUAAGUGUUAACCAGCAGCCGGGUGCUGAGAGAGUGCUGAAUCAGCCCAGAAGAGGGAGGAAAGGCAAGAAAAAGUUUGGUUUAUAGGCUGAAGCCAGCAAAGGAAACGGAACCUGGCGAGAGUUAUAUAUUGCUCAAGGCAGGCACAGGUGGACGGAACUGCAGGCCAGGUCAGAAACAGAAAAAGAUUUAUGUUCCGCGCAAACAAAAGGGCAGAAGAAAAAUCACCAAUCCGGCCGGGCAGCAACUGGAGUGAAAGAAACAGCUGUUCAUACUGGGAAGGAAUGGUCAGUUCUUGUAUGCCGGCCUCUCUCUGGAAUGUCAUCACCUCGGCUCUGUCCUUGAAAUCCUCCUUCUUCUUUGAGGCCCCGCCCAGAUUCCAGAGGAUGUGUGCCAAGCCCGCAUCGUUUUCUUCCUGCACUCAGACUCGAGUGCACCCUCGCCAACCAGCCCGACUUCAGCACCAAGACAAGGACUCCCUGGGCCUCCUGCUUAACCUUUCAAAAGGUGCAGCACAUGACCCCUCACAGAGAUGGGAGUGAGUUCCGGGGGCAACCGGAUGUUCCACGAAGUUCUAAGGGCUAUUUCCUUUCCCAUGAGCCUUUUCGCUCAUGUUUUAUCAGCGCUGGACCGUGGAAUGAUAAAUGCUAUCCUGCGAACAAGGUAAAGAUCCCUUAAAAACUCACUGCAUUGUUUCACAGCACAGUUCCGCAUUGUACAGCGUAUUUGUUUUCCCACAUAUAAAGUUCUAAUGAUUCUGGAACAGACAGUAGAGAAUGCCAAGUAAAUAAACAAUUGAAAAUUUGCUCAGCCAGCUCCAAGAAGGGUUUCCUCAGCAUCCGUUCCAAACUCCUCAUCUUAUUUUUUAGGCUUCUCCUCUGCGCGCUUAAUGGAGUCUUGGAUCUUCCUAUUUCUAGCAUCAGCUGUUGAGAAGUUUUAAAUACAAAUCCUGCUUGCAUUUUUUUUUAGUCUGCUUUUAUAUUUAUUUUAUAUUUUUAGGGUACUUUCCCCUCCUGCUAUCUCACUGUGGUUCUUAUAUCAAACAGGCUGGCUGUGUGCUUGGGGGCCAUUGAGGACAGGGCUUACCUUUGGGGCCCCAGCAAUAGUACCCACAAUUAAUGUUCCUACACAGCUGCUGUUAUCGUGAUGCUACUUUGCUCGAAAAAGUAUCAUGACAUGCUUACCAAUAAAAACAACUCUGAGAUACUUAUGUGUGUGUAUGUGAGGGUGAUAAAACAAUACAGUGAAUAUUACAAAUUUUUAAAUGCAUUACAGUAAAAGAUACACUGCGAUUAGUCUUCUGCAAAAUACUCCCCCUCACUUCAAACGCACUUAUCCCACCAUUCUUGCCACUUUCUGAAGCAGCUCUGGAAGUCCUCUUUCGUGAGUGUCUUUAACUGUGCUGUUGGGCCUGCUUUGAUGUCCUGAAUAAUUUCAAAAUGUUUUCCCUUCAUGUUCAUUUUGACUUAGGAGAAAAGCCAGAAGUUGGAUAGUGCCAUAUCUGGUGAAUAUGGUGGAUGAAGACACAAGGUAAUGUUUUUAUUUGACAGCAUCUUGAAACAAUUAAGGACUUCAAGACAGCACAACAGUGAAACUAAGGACCCUCAUGAAAGAAGACUUCCGGAACUGCUUCAGCAAGCAGCAAGAAUGACUGGACAAGUGUGUUCAAAGUGAGAAGAGAUUAUUUUAAGGGGAAUUAAUGGCAAUCCGCCUUUUACUGUAAUGAAUUACUUUUAUUUCAAUAUUAACCUAUCUUUCACCAUAACUCUCACAUCUUUGGGUAUGUGUAUUCAUAUCUCGAUGUCUAAACAUAUUAGCAUAGUAUACAAUGUUAACAAAGAUAUUACUUUAAAAAGGAGGUUUACACACCUUAAUAGUUUUACUAUUUUGCUGUGUCUUACUUGACUACUUUUCAUGGUUCUGGAAGGAGUGCCUCCUGCUGUGGACCCAGUUUGGGAAGUUCGUACAUAGUUAAAUGGCAUUCAAUGCCCUGCCCUGUUUGCCCACUUACAGUAAGACAGCCACGGAUCGCCUGGGAACCCCGAAACUGCCCAACAGGAGUUGGGGCCGGGCUGUGUCUAGAAUAAGGUUACUCCUGAUUCUAGCUGACAGAUUAUAGGUAGGUCAUUUUCUCCCCUAAGCCUUGUCAUGAGUGGAAUGAGAAAAAUAAAGACAACUGUGUCACUGUCUCAUUGGGAAAUCAAAUACUGAGUGAGAUCACACUUGGUAAAAUGCUAAAGUACGGCAGGAGUCUUACGGAUAUAUGAACCCCUGUAUACUACACAUACAUCUAAAGUCAGGGCACAAAGAAGAAAGAUUCUAGGUGGAGUUUUAUACUUGUCUUACAAGUAAGUAUAAAACAUCAUCUUCUAUCAGAUCUUUUAUUUCACUACUGGUGAGUCCCUGUUAGCUCUUUAUCUGCUUAUUAACACAUCAAAAAUCAAAGUUUUAGGCAUCCAUGAUCUACUGAAUGAAUGAAGUUUGGCUUCAAGAAAAAAGUAAUUCAGGGUAAAUUUAGGAGACUGGAAGACCCUGCCCAACUGGGAGAAUGGAUGGGGUGGUAAAAUCGAAAGUCCAACGUUAGACAUGACCAGUAUGUGGUACUACUUGCUAUCUGUGUGAGGGUGUGGGUGAGGCCACUAGGUAUGAAUCUGGGCUCAGGGGAGAGGCACGGACUAAAGGCAAACACUUAGCAGGGAUAGUCUUCCCAAUCUUCCAGUUCAAAUGGCUCCUGCUCUGUGCACAUUCUUAUUAAUUCCUCUCAUUUGCCCCACGUUCCUCCACCCCUGAAUGUGAUGACACUUUCUAAGCACCUGGCCUACCUCCCUUUUAUUUCAUGCAAACUAUGAACUAGAC